rnacentral:rRNA from 1 species
AUUGAACGCUGGCGGCAGGCUUAACACAUGCAAGUCGAACGAGUGGCGGACGGGUGAGUAAUGCUUGGGAAUCUAGCUUAUGGAGGGGGAUAACUACGGGAAACUGUAGCUAAUACCGCGUACCAUAGGAUGAGCCCAAGUGGGAUUAGGUAGUUGGUGAGGUAAAGGCUCACAAAGGCGACGAUCCCUAGCUGGUCUGAGAGGAUGACCAGCCACACUGGAACUGAGAAACGGUCCAGACUCCUACGGGAGGCAGCAGUGGGGAAUAUUGGACAAUGGGCGAAAGCCUGAUGCAGCCAUGCCGCGUGUGUGAAGAAGGCCUUCGGGUUGUAAAGCACUUGCAGCGGGGAGGCGUUACUCGCAGAAGAAGCACCGGCUAACUCCGUGCCAGCAGCCGCGGUAAUUC